GGGCUACGUAGCAACCAAGGUAUUUUCAAAACACACCUGCAUCAUUUCUAACAUGGACAAGAGGUUUUGGUCUGAUAAACCCUUUCCUGCACCACGUCAAGCACACCAGGGACUGAGUUCUCAGCAACUUCCACCCAGAAUGAACCGCUUCAUUAUUUCAAGGAACAGACUCCAAAGCUUGCGCCCGUACGGAAAACGCAUUCAAGCUCUGUGCCGAGGAAUUCCUUCUUACUUUGCUUACCCUACUGCUGGAUCAAACUUCUUAAGGCAAGAUGUUGCCUGUUUGAAAGUUAAGAUUAAGGAACUGCCUGUCUAUUACUGUGAUUAAUUAUUCCGGAUGAAGUACCGAGGAAGAAAAUUCCCAGACCUGUGGACCCACAAGCAAGGGUUUUUCUCCUCCACAAUCUUCUCUUGAUGGCAUUUUCAGUCACUUCUCUGUCCUUUCUUCUGCUCUGUCUGGAGAUGAUUAUCUCUCAGUAAAAUUUACCAUCAAUCUCA